rnacentral:rRNA from 1 species
AACGCGAAGAACCUUACCUGGAGUGGACAUACACCUAGUAGCGAGGGGAAACCUGAGCGACCGCAAGGAGGGUGAGCAGGUGCUGCAUGGCUGUCGUCAGCUCGUGCCGUGAGGUGUUAGGUUAAGUCCUGUAACGAGCGCAACCCUCAGGGUCAGUUACACGUAGUCUGGCCCGACUGCCCGUGACAAACGGGAGGAAGGCGGGGAUGACGUCAAGUCAGCAUGGCCUUUAUCUCCAGGGCUACACACACGCUACAAUGGCCGGUACAAUGGGUCGCCAAGCCGCAAGGCGGAGCCAAUCCAGCGAAAGCCGGUCUCAGUUCGGAUUGUGGGCUGCAACUCGCCCACAUGAAGUUGGAGUUGCUAGUAACCGCCGGUCAGCUAUACGGCGGUGAAUACGUUCCCGGGCCUUGUACACACCGGUAUCUC